rnacentral:rRNA from 1 species
GUGGGGAAUAUUCCGCAAUGGACGAAAGUCUGACGGAGCAACGCCGCGUGAGUGAUGAAGGUUUUCGGACUGUAAAGCUCUGUUGUUUAGGACGAAAGUGCCUGUUGCAAAUAGUUACAGGUAUUGACGGUACUGAACGAGGAAGCCACGGCUAACUACGUGCCAGCAGCCGCGGUAAUACGUAGGUGGCAAGCGUUGUCCGGAAUUAUUGGGCGUAAAGAGCAUGUAGGCGGGAAUCUAAGUCUGUUGUGAAAAUGCGGGGCUCAACCCCGUAUUGCGAUGGAAACUGGGUUUCUUGAGUGCAGGAGAGGAAAGGGGAAUUCCCAGUGUAGCGGUGAAAUGCGUAGAUAUUGGGAGGAACACCAGUGGCGAAGGCGCCUUUCUGGACUGUGUCUGACGCUGAGAUGCGAAAGCCAGGGUAGCGAACGGGAUUAGAUACACGGGUAGUCC